AGUGAACGCUGGCGGUAGGCCUAACACAUGCAAGUCGAACGGCAGCACAGUAAGAGCUUGCUCUUACGGGUGGCGAGUGGCGGACAGGUGAGGAAUACAUCGGAAUCUACUUUUUCGUGGGGGAUAACGUAGGGAAACUUACGCUAAUACCGCAUACGACCUACGGGUGAAAGCAGGGGAUCUUCGGACCUUGCGCGAUUGAAUGAGCCGAUGUCGGACUAGCUAGUUGGCGGGGUAAAGGCCCACCAAGGCGACGAUCCGUAGCUGGUCUGAGAGGAUGAUCAGCCACACUGGAACUGAGACACGGUCCAGACUCCUACGGGAGGCAGCAGUGGGGAAUAUUGGACAAUGGGCGCAAGCCUGAUCCAGCCAUACCGCGUGGGUGAAGAAGGCCUUCGGGUUGUAAAGCCCUUUUGUUGGGAAAGAAAAGCAGCAGGUUAAUACCCCGCUGUUCUGACGGUACCCAAAGAAUAAGCACCGGCUAACUUCGUG
rnacentral:rRNA from 1 species